rnacentral:rRNA from 1 species
ACUCAAAGGAAUUGACGGGGGCCCGCACAAGCAGCGGAGCGUGUGGUUUAAUUCGAUGCAACGCGAAGAACCUUACCUAGGCUUGACAUGCGCGAAGUAGGACCGGGAAACCGGGACGACUCGUCGAGGCGAGAGCGCGCACAGAUGCUGCAUGGCUGUCGUCAGCUCGUGCCGUGAGGUGUUGGGUUAAGUCCCGCAACGAGCGCAACCCUCGGUGCCAGUUAAACUGUCUGGCGCGACUGCCGGGAUCAACCCGGAGGAAGGUGGGGAUGACGUCAAGUCAGCACGGCUCUUACGUCUAGGGCUACACACACGCUACAAUGGCCGGUACAACGGGCAGCGAAGGGGCGACCUGGAGCGAAUCCCAGCAAAGCCGGUCUCAGUCAGGAUUGGAGGCUGCAACUCGCCUCCAUGAAUGUGGAGUUGCUAGUAACCGUGGGUCAGCACACCGCGGUGAAUACGUUCCCGGGCCUUGUACACACCGCCCGU